rnacentral:lncRNA from 1 species
AGCUGCCCCUGGAUCCCAGCACCCUCAGUGCUUUGUUCUCCUCCCUGGGCGCCCCCCCGCCCAGACUAUCCCCACCGCCGGGCCGCCAGCCUGGCUGCUGUCUCUCCGGGAGCCGCUGCCAAGCCGUCAGCUCCUUUCAUCGCCCCAAGGCAGCCAGAGGGAGCGCCAGCAGCAGCCUUGGCACACGCCCGCCUCCGGCCACUCCCGGCGUGUUCUCAGACACAGACGCCAGCCCAGCGGGGCGGGCACCCAGCUCCGAGCCCACGGCUGCAACAAGGAAGGGUCACUGGGGGACCCAGCCCCCUCAUUACACGUCAGGAAACCUGGGCUGGGGAUCAGCCAGGCCUCCUUUGAAACUGUCUAGCCAAAUCAGCCCGUCAGAGUGGCGAUCAGAUGUCCAUGGGAGGCGGUUCCCUCUGCUGGAAUGUUCUCCAUCCCGCCCCCACCGGCCAGCCCCUCAGGGCUCAGUGAGGGCAGGCCCUUCCUCAGAGGCCCUGACCUUCACCCAGGGCCAAGCUCCCUCUUAGCACUCAUAGCACCCAGCCCAGGCGCCUGGCUGUCAGCCCAGAUGGGCACCUAAGCUAAGGAAGCUUUGGGGAGGGACGGGGGACCUUGCAGGGCUCCCCGGUCGGUCCACUUGGUGGUCCUGCUCCUCCCGACAUGUGGGCACAGGCUGGCCUUCCAGGACUUCCGUGUUUGGCUCCUGGAGGCAGGACCUCUGUCCCCAUCCUGACUCCAGGCACCCAGAGGCAGCCAAGAGCUGGGCAGGGGGCUACCCAACUCCACAGAGAUGCCCGUGGCCUCAGGAAACUCUGUCCCACACCCUUGGCUUUGAGGUGAGGAUAAGAGAGCCCAGCCCUGGCUCCAGGAUCACCUCCAUCGAGUCCGUCCUGGUUCUCUGAGCCUUCACUUCCUCCUCUGCCAAACGGAUUCUGAUUCUUCCUGGUCAGGCUGCUGACAGGAUCGAUGUGCCUAUCUCCCAGGGCUGCUGGCAGGAUUAGAUAGGUUGCCCUUCGAACAGUCACCUGGAAGCAGGGGGAGGAGCCUGUUCAUGUUGGGCGUUGACCAACAAGAACCAGCAAGAGAGAUGAAGAUGGAUCUGCCCUCGCACAGCUACAGCAGACUCGCACACUCGGAGGCAACAUGUGACGUGGAGAGACACACUUUAUGUCCAUGUUGUUGGGGGAGCAGCCUGUGCCGUCCCUCGGUGAGCUGGCAUCCUCCUGGCCCUGCUGAGCAGGGAGAGACAGAAGCUGUAAGAAGAGGCCAGCAGCCAGACACCCAGCCCCACCGCUCCCCUGCUGGGUGACCUCGGGCAAGUCACUGCAUUGCUCUGGGCCUGCUUCUUCAUCUGUAAAACGGGAUGAUGCCAACCCUAACCUCCCCAUCGUGGGACCAGCCGAGAGCCACAGCACCUACAGGAGCCCCAGGGUCCUGAGGGAACCGCCUUGAGCCUCAGUCUCCUCAUCUGUAAACCGAGGCUGAUGACUCCAGGCCCAUGUCACAGGACCGCAGAGAGAAAUGCCCGACAUUGGGACUGUGGGGUCACAGGAACGUGAUUCCUGACAGCGGGAGCGGGGAGGACGAGGAGGAGGCAGAACAGGAAAAUAUUUUGAAGGCUGGUCUCUAAGUGGCUUUAGGAACCUCUAAGCCAGAAUGGCCUGGACAAGGUCAGCUGGUUUGGUGCCCACCUUCCCGCCCAUCGCUGGGCCGCGGACUGUCACACAGGUCAGAGCCCCCCAGUCCUCUGCCCUUUCCCGAACCAUCUGGAAGCUGGAAAGUUACUGUCCUUACACAGGUCACAACAUCUGAGCACCUUCCCCAGACAGACCCCAGGCUGGGCACCGAGGAAGGGUUGCUUGCACCUGAGCUGGGCCUGAGCUGGGCCUUGAAGGAGAAGCAAAGUCCACCACUCCCUGCAGGGAGCUGUGGGCAGACACACCCCAAAAAACAAAUACACUGCGAUGGGCGCCCGGACAAGCCACCGAGAGCAGCAGGACAGCCAGUGGCCUGAGGGCAGGGGAGGGCGCCACCUGCUGGUCACAGAUGAGAAGUGCACCUGGUGCCCACUUGGUCCUUCUGGAGGAGCCUGUGCUCCGGACUCUGAAGCCCUGGGCGGUGACUCCCGGGCUCCCACCCGAGGCACAACAUCCUCCUCCCCACAAGUUUCUCCAAAUAGCUGCUUCACAUGCUUUUCAUAGACGUGAUGUUUUUACAUGUCAGAAGUGUGUCAGAUACUCUAUAAAUCUUCAUAAACUCCCCAAACGUGUACCCAGGGCUGGCCCCUGUGCUAGGCACUGGUGACACGGUGACCAGCCAGAUAGCCAUGGUCCCUGCGGGCUCUGAGGGCAGGAGGCCAAUACUAAACACUGUCACAAAGGGCCCAUUUAGUGACAAGCGUAAUCACGGCUAACGGGGAAGCGGAGAGGGGAACGUUGCGUCACUUGCCCCCUCGCCAGCUCUGCAAGGACGGAUGUGACUGCUGCUUUACAGACGAGGCUCAGAGAGGUGGAGUGGUCCACACGGCAGGAGGAGAUGCAGCUCAGACAGGGACCCAGGGCUGCCAGGCCACCGGAGGAGGGAGGGUGCAGGCUCCCCCGCAGGCCCACUGCCAGGCUGCAGAAAUGGUCCCCAACUCCCUUCCUAACGAGGCCCAGAGAGCAGCUGUGUCUCCAAAGCCUGGUUUCAAUGGGUUUCUGCCAUCGCUAGGACUAAGACCUGGCCCCCUGCAAGAGCUGCGCUCUUCUCCCGUCUAAAGGGACAAGUAGACAGAACCCCGAGUCCUCACAUGCCGUCAGCCAGACCUUCUCCCCUCCCCCCACCUCCUUUCGUCUAAUGAUCCCACCAUCCUUCAGGAGAGAAGAGGGCCCUGCAGUAAGAUGUGGACGUCCCUGGGCCACCUGGGAAUUGCCAUCUCUUUCCCGGCCUCAGUUUCCCCCCCGUCUACUGAGAGGUCAGAUUGACUCCUCUGAAGACCUCGGUUGAUCUGAAGUGUUAAAAUCCUCUUCGCCAGCCUUCCACCUCCCUUCGUCAGCAAGCACAGAGACGUACAGACCUCUCAGUGAUGCUGGGCAUCCUCAGUUUCCACAGGGUGACUCGUCUUUGGGAGACCAAAGCCAAAAUGGUUUGGAGACGGUACAGGCAAACCAGACUCCCUGCCACAUGACGGCUCAGAGAUGCGGCAGCCAGGACAGCCUUGCCUCCCUCUGGGUCAGUGACGCCAGCCGCCGGAGGGCUUGAUGGGCAAGGCUCCCGGGCAGGUCCCCUCCCUCUCUGAAUUUUGGCCCCUCACACCAUCUGCAGACGCUCCUUG